rnacentral:lncRNA from 1 species
AAAAGAAAAACGCACUAACAAAAACGGACAAACAAUAAUUUACAUAAAGUAGAUGCCUUAGUGAUAAGGCAGUCUUUAUCCGACCCUACAUAGUGGGUGGCUGCUUUUGUCUGCCACUACAUUGUGACGUGUUGUUUUCCACUGAGUUCUUCUUUGUCGUUUUGUGCCGACGAUUUUGGCGGACAGAUUUCACACAUGUGUUUUUUGUAACUUUGUGUAAAAUUUCUACACAGUUCUUCUCUAAUUACCAUGGGUAAUUUUGUGUAGUCUUCUUUUAGCUGGUCAACUCUUUCUUCAAGAUUUUUAACAGCCUGUAAAUCUUUCUCCUUGGCUGGCUUUCUGGAAUCGCUGUAAACGACUGUUGAUGGAUCGUCGUACUGGGUUAACCUGGCAACCUUUUGUCUGAAGUGUUUCAUUUGUGCAAUGUAACUGGCUGGGUGCCAUUCAUUUUUUUCUUUCGACAUAGUUGGAUAUGUC